rnacentral:RNase_MRP_RNA from 1 species
AGGGACACAGCAGACACCACCGAUGGAGCACUGGGAGCAGCCCUGGGCAUCAUCACGCUCAUGAGGGAAACGGCACUUUCAGCGAUGC